rnacentral:rRNA from 1 species
GAACCGGCGAGUUACGAUUUGAUGCAAGGUUAAGCAGUAAAUGUGGAGCCGUAGCGAAAGCGAGUCUGAAUAGGGCGUUUAGUAUUUGGUCGUAGACCCGAAACCAGGUGAUCUACCCUUGGUCAGGUUGAAGUUCAGGUAACACUGAAUGGAGGACCGAACCGACUUACGUUGAAAAGUGAGCGGAUGAACUGAGGGUAGCGGAGAAAUUCCAAUCGAACCUGGAGAUAGCUGGUUCUCUCCGAAAUAGCUUUAGGGCUAGCCUCAAGUGAUGAUUAUUGGAGGUAGAGCACUGUUUGGACGAGGGGCCCCUCUCGGGUUACCGAAUUCAGACAAACUCCGAAUGCCAAUUAAUUUAACUUGGGAGUCAGAACAUGGGUGAUAAGGUCCGUGUUCGAAAGGGAAACAGCCCAGACCACCAGCUAAGGUCCCAAAAUAUAUGUUAAGUGGAAAAGGAUGUGGCGUUGCCCAGACAACUAGGAUGUUGGCUUAGAAGCAGCCAUCAUUUAAAGAGUGCGUAAUAGCUCACUAGUCGAGUGACACUGCGCCGAAAAUGUACCGGGGCUAAACAUAUUACCGAAAGCUGUGGAUUGUCCUUUGGACAAUGGUAGGAGAGCGUUCUAAGGGCGUUGAAGCAUGAUCGUAAGGACAUGUGGAGCGCUUAGAAGUGAGAAUGCCGGUGUGAGUAGCGAAAGACGGGUGAGAAUCCCGUCCACCGAUUGACUAAGGUUUCCAGAGGAAGGCUCGUCCGCUCUGGGUUAGUCGGGUCCUAAGCUGAGGCCGACAGGCGUAGGCGAUGGAUAACAGGUUGAUAUUCCUGUACCACCUAUAAUCGUUUUAAUCGAUGGGGGGACGCAGUAGGAUAGGCGAAGCGUGCGAUUGGAUUGCACGUCUAAGCAGUAAGGCUGAGUAUUAGGCAAAUCCGGUACUCGUUAAGGCUGAGCUGUGAUGGGGAGAAGACAUUGAGUCUUCGAGUCGUCGAUUUCACACUGCCGAGAAAAGCCUCUAGAUAGAAAAUAGGUGCCCGUACCGCAAACCGACACAGGUAGUCAAGAUGAGAAUUCUAAGGUGAGCGAGCGAACUCUCGUUAAGGAACUCGGCAAAAUGACCCCGUAACUUCGGGAGAAGGGGUGCUCUUUAGGGUUAACGCCCAGAAGAGCCGCAGUGAAUAGGCCCAAGCGACUGUUUAUCAAAAACACAGGUCUCUGCUAAACCGUAAGGUGAUGUAUAGGGGCUGACGCCUGCCCGGUGCUGGAAGGUUAAGAGGAGUGGUUAGCUUCUGCGAAGCUACGAAUCGAAGCCCCAGUAAACGGCGGCCGUAACUAUAACGGUCCUAAGGUAGCGAAAUUCCUUGUCGGGUAAGUUCCGACCCGCACGAAAGGCGUAACGAUUUGGGCACUGUCUCAACGAGAGACUCGGUGAAAUCAUAGUACCUGUGAAGAUGCAGGUUACCCGCGACAGGACGGAAAGACCCCGUGGAGCUUUACUGUAGCCUGAUAUUGAAAUUCGGCACAGCUUGUACAGGAUAGGUAGGAGCCUUUGAAACGUGAGCGCUAGCUUACGUGGAGGCGCUGGUGGGAUACUACCCUAGCUGUGUUGGCUUUCUAACCCGCACCACUUAUCGUGGUGGGAGACAGUGUCAGGCGGGCAGUUUGACUGGGGCGGUCGCCUCCUAAAAGGUAACGGAGGCGCUCAAAGGUUCCCUCAGAAUGGUUGGAAAUCAUUCAUAGAGUGUAAAGGCAUAAGGGAGCUUGACUGCGAGACCUACAAGUCGAGCAGGGUCGAAAGACGGACUUAGUGAUCCGGUGGUUCCGCAUGGAAGGGCCAUCGCUCAACGGAUAAAAGCUACCCCGGGGAUAACAGGCUUAUCUCCCCCAAGAGUUCACAUCGACGGGGAGGUUUGGCACCUCGAUGUCGGCUCAUCGCAUCCUGGGGCUGUAGUCGGUCCCAAGGGUUGGGCUGUUCGCCCAUUAAAAGCGGUACGCGAGCUGGGUUCAGAACGUCGUGAGACAGUUCGGUCCCUAUCCGUCGUGGGCGUAGGAAAUUUGAGAGGAGCUGUCCUUAGUACGAGAGGACCGGGAUGGACAUACCUCUGGUGUACCAGUUGUCGUGCCAACGGCAUAGCUGGGUAGCUAUGUGUGGACGGGAUAAGUGCUGAAAGCAUCUAAGCAUGAAGCCCCCCUCAAGAUGAGAUUUCCCAACUUCGGUUAUAAGAUCCCUCAAAGAUGAUGAGGUUAAUAGGUUCGAGGUGGAAGCAUGGUGACAUGUGGAGCUGACGAAUACUAAUCGAUCGAAGACUUAAUCAA